rnacentral:misc_RNA from 1 species
AUGAAGAACGUAGCGAAAUGCGAUAAGUAAUGUGAAUUGCAGAAUUCAGUGAAUCAUCGAAUCUUUGAACGCACAUUGCGCCCCCUGGUAUUCCGGGGGGCAUGCCUGUCCGAGCGUCAUUACAACCCUCAAGCUCAGCUUGGUAUUGGGCCCCGCCGACCCGGCGGGCCCUAAAGUCAGUGGUGGUGCCGUCCGGCUCCGAGCGUAGUAAUUCUUCUCGCUCUGGAGGUCCGGUCGUGUGCUCGCCAGCAACCCCCAAUUUUUUUCAGGUUGACCUCGGAUCAGGUAGGGAUACCCGCUGAACUUAAGCAUAUCAAUAAGCGGAGGA